AACUGGGGAUAAUACUAGAUAGGCAAUUUUUCCUGGAAUGGUUUUUUGUUUAAAUGUUUUUUCGCCUAAGGAUGGGUCUGCGGCCGAUUAGGUAGUUGGUUAGGUAACGGCUUACCAAGCCAUUGAUCGGUACGGGUUGUGAGAGCAAGAGCCCGGAGAUGGAACCUGAGACAAGGUUCCAGGCCCUACGGGGUGCAGCAGGCGCGAAACCUCCGCAAUGUGAGAAAUCGCGACGGGGGGAUCCCAAGUGCCAUUCUUAACGGGAUGGCUUUUCAUUAGUGUAAAGAGCUUUUGGAAUAAGGGCUGGGCAAGACCGGUGCCAGCCGCCGCGGUAACACCGGCAGCUCUAGUGGUAGCAGUUUUUAUUGGGCCUAAAGCGUCCGUAGCCGGUUUAAUAAGUCUCUGGUGAAAUCCUGUAGCUUAACUGUGGGAAUUGCUGGAGAUACUAUUAGACUUGAGACCGGGAGAGGUUAGAGGUACUCCCAGGGUAGAGGUGAAAUUCUGUAAUCCUGGGAGGACCGCCUGUUGCGAAGGCGUCUAACUGGAACGGUUCUGACGGUGAGGGACGAAAGUUAGGGGCGCGAACCGGAUUAGAUACCCGGGUAGUCCUAACUGUAAACGAUGCGGACUUGGUGUUGGGGUGGCUUUGAGCUGCUCCAGUGCCGAAGGGAAGCUGUUAAGUCCGCCGCCUGGGAAGUACGGUCGCAAGACUGAAACUUAA
rnacentral:rRNA from 1 species